rnacentral:rRNA from 1 species
UACGAAGGGGGCUAGCGUUGCUCGGAAUCACUGGGCGUAAAGGGUGCGUAGGCGGGUCUUUAAGUCAGGGGUGAAAGUCCUAGGCGAGCUCAACUCCAGAACUGCCUUGAUACUGAAGAUCUUGAGUUCGGGAGAGGUGAGUGGAACUGCGAGUGUAGAGGUGAAAUUCGUAGAUAUUCGCAAGAACACCAGUGGCGAAGGCGGCUCACUGGCCCGAUACUGACGCUGAGGCACGAAAGCGCUGGGGAGGCAAACAGGG